CUGGGAUAAGCCUGGGAAACUGGGUCUAAUACCGGAUAUGAGCUCCUGUCGCAUGGCGGGGGUUGGAAAGGUUUACUGGUGCAGGAUGGGCCCGCGGCCUAUCAGCUUGUUGGUGGGGUAAUGGCCUACCAAGGCGACGACGGGUAGCCGGCCUGAGAGGGCGACCGGCCACACUGGGACUGAGACACGGCCCAGACUCCUACGGGAGGCAGCAGUGGGGAAUAUUGCACAAUGGGCGAAAGCCUGAUGCAGCGACGCCGCGUGAGGGAUGACGGCCUUCGGGUUGUAAACCUCUUUCAGCAGGGACGAAGCGAGAGUGACGGUACCUGCAGAAGAAGCACCGGCCAACUACGUGCCAGCAGCCGCGGUAAUACGUAGGGUGCGAGCGUUGUCCGGAAUUACUGGGCGUAAAGAGCUCGUAGGCGGUUUGUCGCGUCGUCCGUGAAAACUUGGGGCUCAACCCCAAGCUUGCGGGCGAUACGGGCAGACUUGAGUACUGCAGGGGAGACUGGAAUUCCUGGUGUAGCGGUGAAAUGCGCAGAUAUCAGGAGGAACACCGGUGGCGAAGGCGGGUCUCUGGGCAGUAACUGACGCUGAGGAGCGAAAGCGUGGGUAGCGAACAGGAUUAGAUACCCUGGUAGUCCACGCCGUAAACGGUGGGCGCUAGGUGUGGGUUUCCUUCCACGGGAUCCGUGCCGUAGCUAACGCAUUAAGCGCCCCGCCUGGGGAGUACGGCCGCAAGGCUAAAACU
rnacentral:rRNA from 1 species